rnacentral:rRNA from 1 species
GACGAACGCUGGCGGCGUGCCUAAUACAUGCAAGUCGAACGCACUCUCGUUUAGAUUGAAGGAGCUUGCUCCUGAUUGAUAAACAUUUGAGUGAGUGGCGGACGGGUGAGUAACACGUGGGUAACCUGCCCUAAAGUGGGGGAUAACAUUUGGAAACAGAUGCUAAUACCGCAUAAAACCUAAACACCGCAUGGUGUAGGGUUGAAAGAUGGUUUCGGCUAUCACUUUAGGAUGGACCCGCGGUGCAUUAGUUAGUUGGUGAGGUAAAGGCUCACCAAGACCGUGAUGCAUAGCCGACCUGAGAGGGUAAUCGGCCACACUGGGUCUGAGACACGGCCCAGACUCCUACGGGAGGCAGCAGUAGGGAAUCUUCCACAAUGGACGAAAGUCUGAUGGAGCAACGCCGCGUGAGUGAAGAAGUUUUCGGAUCGUAAAACUCUGUUGUUGAGAAGAAUGUAUCUGAUAGUAACUGAUCAGGUAGUGACGGUAU